UGAUAGGGAAAGACGAAAAUAGUGGGGCGAGCGAAACGGCCUACCGCUGAAUGUUUUGCCCUAUUGUUCAGGGAUGUCGUGAAAAUAUUGAAUUUCGACUGACUGCAAUUAGGUGAACGAAAUUCAAGCGGUGGCGAUGUGUUGUAUACUUAUCGAGAUGGGACAAGUGCUUUACGAUAAGCGCAGACUACGGUAAUAUCGGUUAAAACGUUGAGCACACCAACGGGCGAUUCUUUGUCAUGGACAUGCAAGCUUCUAAUGGCAUGGAUGUAUGUAUGAAUACAGUGUAUACUCCCAUCCCCGGGUUACCUGAACAACUAGGGAUGGUAUGGAUGGGGGUACAUGGAGAGACUGCCCAUGAACUUCUGCUGGAUCCUCGCCAAACUGAGAGUCCAUUCUUCUCGCAUAGUUCACAUCCGUAUGAAGACCUCAGAAAUCACAUUGCUUCUACUACCAUGGUACGUUAUAUACCGCAGCAAUUUUCAAAUGAAUGCUCAGAAUCUGACGAGGCGAUGGAAGGUGUAGAUGCCCAUGAAAUACAGCGAGAAUAUGAUUCGCAGGCUGAAAGGCCAGAAAUGAAUGAAUAUUUAACAUUAGAAGAUUACAUGGGUGAUGAAGAACGAGAACAAAUUGUGAGCAAUGCUGCAACUCAAACUACUCAAGACAAUCGCAAUCGAAAAAUAAAACCUAUAAAGCAUCCUGGUCUUGUUUUAAAAACGCCAAUUGCUUAUCAACCUCAUACUGAUCUAAAUUUUAUUCCUAUUCGUAAAGAUGGUAUAGCUGUUUGUGAAAAAUGUGGUGCUAUUGGAGUAAAACAUGCCUUUUAUACGAAGGAGCGUAGAUUUUGCAGUAGAGCAUGUGCCCGAUCUUUAGAAAAUGCGGCGCCUACUGCUGACUCAACGUAUAGUCCGUCUCAUUCGGUGGAUCAAUCAGUAUCUAUAAAUCAAACGUCUCCUAGUGAAAUAAAACAACCGAGUGACAUGAUUGUGAAGGAAGAAGUAGAUAUCAAGGAAUCUAUGGAAUUGGAUAAAGACAAAGUUAAAUUAGAACCCGUGUUGCCAGAGGAUUUACCAGUUAGAAGAAAGAGAACAGCGGAAAUGGCUAACUCCUAUGAUUGGACAUCCCAGCUUGUUGAGCCUGGAUUUUGUGCUGCACCAGUUUCUUGUUUCAAACAUGUUAGUUUUCAUAACAUGAUACUGGCUCCUAUAUCAGAAAUAUGGGAUAAUAUUACAGUGGGUAUGAAAGUAGAAGUAGAAAAUACCGAUUGUGAUGAAGUAUGCGAGGCUUUCCCAGAUUCGUUUUGGGUCGCGACUGUAGUGCGUAUUUGCGGAUAUAAAGCUUUGUUAAGGUAUGAAGGUUUUGGACACAACGCAGACAAAGAUUUUUGGGUAUCGCUUUGUUCUAAUGACAUACAUCCUGUUGGUUGGUGUGCCACAAUUGGAAAACCUCUUAUUCCACCUAACACAAUUGCAAACAAGUACAAAGAUUGGAAGGAUUUUUUAAUGAGGCGAUUAACAGGUGCAAGAACAUUACCGACAAAUUUUUACAGUAAAGUAAAUGAUAGUAUGAAAUCUCGCUUUCGAUGUGGGCUUCAUCUGGAAGUAGUAGAUAAAAAUAGAAUCUCGCAAGUAAAAGUGGCAACAAUACAAAAAAUUGUUGGCAAACGUUUGCACGUGAGAUAUUACGAUUCUUCUCCGGAAGAUAACGGAUUCUGGUGUCACGAAGAUUCACCUCUUAUACAUCCUGUCGGUUGGGCCAAAAGAGUGGGACAGGCGUUGGAUGCAUAUCCCGAAUACUUGGAUCGAGUUUCUAAAUCAAAAUUAUCUGAAGAUGACGCAACGGAGAAUCUUUUUCAUGUGCCAAAGAAUCAUCACAUGCAUCUUGGAUACACAUUUAGGGAAGGAAUGAAAAUGGAAGCCAUCGAUCCGCUCAAUCUUUCAGCUAUAUGCGCUGCGACAGUUAUGCAAGUUUUGAAAGAGGACUACAUUAUGAUACGCAUUGACAGUUAUGACGAAGACGCGACUGGUGCUGAUUGGUUUUGCUAUCACUCGUGUUCGCCCUGUAUUUUUCCAGUCGGAUUCUGUUCUCAGCAUGGCUUACCAUUAACGCCACCAAAAGGCUAUGAUCCUACUACAUUUACAUGGGAUGCAUAUCUAACGGAGACCAAUACUAUACCAGCUUCUAUACAGUUAUUUAAUCGGGACAUUCCUCAACAUGGAUUUAUUGAGGGGAUGAGACUCGAAGCUGCUGAUUUAAUGGAUCCUAGAUUAGUUUGUGUUGCUACUAUCACUAGGGUGAUUGGCAGGUUACUACGAGUGCAUUUUGACGGUUGGGAAGACGAAUACGAUCAAUGGUUAGAUUGUCAAAGUCCAGACAUUUACCCCGUUGGGUAUUGUGAUCUUGUCGAUCACAAAUUAGAAGGUCCACGUGCACUCAUUAAAAACACUAGUCCUACUGUAAAAUCACCAAGAGGCCUUAAACGUAAAGCUAAGAGAAAAAUGAAGAAGGGUAGCAAGAUGUCUUGCUCCAAAAAUAUACUACCUCGUCAGAGCGAACGUAUUAGUAUGGCUCGCGAACGCGAACGAGAAUUGGAACCUGCUCAAGGUACGAAAAUUGAGAGAGAGCGUGACUUGGAAAGCUUACCGGAACAGAGGAAUAGAGAGCCAGAACCAGCGGAAGAGCCAGUUGGACCUGACCAAACCUUGCCUAGUCCUACCACUGGACAAGGUCAAGCGUUGAACGACACACAAAGUGAAGUACAGAACCCUCCACCUAAGGAAAGAACUGCUACAUCAUAUAUUAAUGUUACUUCAGCAAAUAGUAAAUACAUACCAAGGCUAGCAGAUGGUGUGCAAAAAAGUUCGGAAUCUGGUGAUUUAGUGCCAUCUGAGUGGAAUGUCUUUGACGUUGCACAAUUUCUUCGUGUUAAUGACUGUGCGACAUACUGCGAUAAUUUCAGUAAACGUAAAAUAGAUGGAAAGACAUUGCUAACUCUCACUAAGGACCAAAUAAUAGACCUAACGGGUUUCAAAGUUGGACCGUCUUUAAAGAUAUAUGAUUUAAUUCAGCAGUUAAAAAUCAAAGUGAAUCCAGCUCAGGAAAGAUUGAAAUUAGGAUUGAAAAAAAUAUCAUAACAAAACUAGUGCAUAAUUAGCGCUAUAAAUAAGUUCCAGCAUUACACAAAUUAGACAUGGAUUUACAGAAACCAUCAGUAAUAUGGAUGACACGCAGUAUUUUCUAAUGUAUCGAAAUUGCUAUUAUAAUUAGUAAAGAGCUAUCGGAAUAUUGCAGAUGUUUGAUUAUCAUAAAAAUAUCUGAAUUUAACAAUAAGCCAAGCUGCAUUUCUAAGUAAAAUUGUGAAGAGGUUAUCUUACAAAAUUACGUGUGAUAUCGACUGGCACAAUUUCUACAAAUACCUUUCAUCGGAUGUCGUGUUGAUCCACAAUUAGUAAUUGCAACAAUGGACAAGCCUCAUCGAUUUGUUGCAUAUUCAAGAUAUUUGGGA
rnacentral:misc_RNA from 1 species